rnacentral:rRNA from 1 species
AGUGAACGCUGGCGGUAGGCCUAACACAUGCAAGUCGAACGGCAGCACAGUAAGAGCUUGCUCUUACGGGUGGCGAGUGGCGGACGGGUGAGGAAUACAUCGGAAUCUACUUUUUCGUGGGGGAUAACGUAGGGAAACUUACGCUAAUACCGCAUACGACCUACGGGUGAAAGCAGGGGAACUUCGGACCUUGCGCGAUUGAAUGAGCCGAUGUCGGAUUAGUCGGUUGGCGGGGUAAAGGCCCACCAAGGCGGCGAUCCGUAGCUGGUCUGAGAGGAUGGUCGGCCACACUGGAACUGAGACACGGCCCAGACUCCUACGGGAGGCAGCAGUGGGGAAUAUUGGACAAUGGGCGCAAGCCUGAUCCAGCCAUACCGCGUGUGUGAAGAAGGCCUUCGGGUUGUAAAGCCCUUUUGUUGGGAAAGAAAAGCAGCAGGUUAAUACCCCGCUGUUCUGACGGUACCCAAAGAAUAAGCACCGGCUAACUUCGUG